rnacentral:tRNA from 1 species
UGCACUUUAGUAUAAUUGUAUAUAAUUUUUUGGUAAUUAAGGAGGUGAAUAUUUGCACCAGGUGCAG